GAUGAACGCUGGCGGCGUGCCUAAUACAUGCAAGUCGAGCGAACAGACGAGGAGCUUGCUCCUCUGACGUUAGCGGCGGACGGGUGAGUAACACGUGGAUAACCUACCUAUAAGACUGGGAUAACUUCGGGAAACCGGAGCUAAUACCGGAUAAUAUAUUGAACCGCAUGGUUCAAUAGUGAAAGACGGUUUUGCUGUCACUUAUAGAUGGAUCCGCGCCGCAUUAGCUAGUUGGUAAGGUAACGGCUUACCAAGGCAACGAUGCGUAGCCGACCUGAGAGGGUGAUCGGCCACACUGGAACUGAGACGCGGUCCAGACUCCUACGGGAGGCAGCAGUAGGGAAUCGUCCGCAAUGGGCGAAAGCCUGACGGAGCAACGCCGCGUGAGUGAUGAAGGUCUGCGGAUCGGAAAACUCUGUUAUGAGGGAAGAACAAAUGUGUAAGUAACUAUGCACGUCUUGACGGUACCUAAUCAGAAAGCCACGGCUAACUACGUG
rnacentral:rRNA from 1 species